AAAGAACCAAGAAGCUGGCCAAGAUAUAAUCUAUAUAAGAAAUUAUUAUACAUUAAUUAUGGUACUCAUUAUUAUGAGCUACAAUUUUGGAAUUAUUUCAGGGGUCAGGUCAAAUCAAUUACAAGAAGGGGAGAAAAAAAAAAAAACUAGAACACAGUUGAGUGUAAAGAUAGGGGCCGAUUAAUAUUAAUAUGGUCUAUAGAGAAAUAACUAGGGUGGUGAUUAAUUAAUAAAUAAAUUAAGCUGCAACAGAAACUCGGGUUUCAUAGAAUCUGGCAAUGAAGGCAGAAGCUUUGCCGUCGAUACCCGGUUCAGCAAUUGAGAAUCGGCCAUCUUCAUCACUUUUACAAAUCCUUCUGACGUAGUAGCCAUCCUCGCUCAUAUCAUCCCCACCAUAUGAACAGCAACCUUUGAAUAUGUUGAAUAUUGAGAAGCAAGAUGAAGAUGAAGACUUCCUAUGCCUGCUGUAACCUCCUGCCAUGAUCACACUUACUUAACAACUAAGCUAGAGCUCUGUGGCUAUAAAGCUGUUGCGUUUCUAAUUUUACUAAUUAAUGUGGGUGUGGGUGUGGGUGUGGGUGUGGGUGUGACUGCAGCACUUCUUCACUCGAAGAUCACUUUCAGUAUGCAAAACGUCAUGAAAUAUCGAGUGUAUUUAUAGAUGAGUGAUCACCUACAUGCGCUUUGAAGGCUAUUUACUACAAUAAUUGGACGGUCAAGAUUCAACGAAAAUAGACGUGC
rnacentral:lncRNA from 1 species